CCUACGGGCGGCAGCAGUGAGGAAUAUUGGUCAAUGGACGCAAGUCUGAACCAGCCAUGCCGCGUGCAGGAAGACGGCUCUAUGAGUUGUACACUGCUUUUGUACGAGGGUAAAAGCAGAUACGCGUAUCUGUCUGAAAGUAUCGUACGAAUAAGGAUCGGCUAACUCCGUGCCAGCAGCCGCGGUAAUACGGAGGAUUCAAGCGUUAUCCGGAUUGAUUGGGUUUAAAGGGUGCGUAGGCGGUCGGAUAAGUUAGAGGUGAAAUCCUGGGGCUCAACUUCGGAAUUGCCUCUGAUACUGGUCGGCUAGAGAGUAGUUGCGGUAGGCGGAAUGUAUGGUGUAGCGGUGGAAUGCUUAGAGAUCAUACAGAACACCGAUUGCGAAGGCAGCUUACCAAGCUACUUCUGACGUUGAGGCACGCAAGCGUGGGGAGCAAACAUGAUUCGCUCCCCCUGGUAGUC
rnacentral:rRNA from 1 species